UGGGAGGCUCCUGGGAAGGCGCCUGCCAUCUCUGGCACUUGGAGCAGACUGUGAGCAGCAGAUGGAAUUUUCUCUGGACCCCCCUGCCCUCCACUGGAUGGGAAAUGGUUCUCCUACCUGGGAUGGAGAACAUUUCAUUCAAGAAACGCAAAGAGAGGAAAGGAGGGCAGUGCAUCUGAGCGGCACUGAGAUCAGAUGCCUGCGAGUCUUCGCCAUCCAUUCUCCCUUCAGAUGGGCAUUCUUGGGGCAAAGGAGGCUGGACAAGGCGUCUGGAGAUAUACCAGGUCACCCUACCCUCAGGGCUUUCUGAGUGUCUUUGAGACACUAGGGAGAUACUUUUUGCUGGAACUGAAACCUCCCACCUGCUGGGGCCAAGGAGUCGAGUGCCGGAGGUCAGGGGUGCCUUGGACUGAUGGGUGUCUUUAAAUGCCUCCACGUGGGGCAAAGGGAGGCAGCUUCUGUGUGAGCUGGUCAGGAGCAGUCCUUCCACUCCCCACUCUCUCCAGGAAAUGACUGUCACCCAUGACCAGAGUCAUGAGUCCCAUAGAUGCUCAGGCUUGGGAGAAAGCUCUUGGGACAGUGGAGCCCUGCCACUGAAUUUUAUUUCUGACUUUGCUCUGGCCCCAGUGUUUGAACUGUGAACCCUGGACAAGUUGAGAUGAAGGUUUCCUGCUCCGCAGGUGGAGACAUCAGACGGGAGAGAGGAGGUGCCCCCUCCCCACCCCGGCUCUCUCUCUCUCAGCCCAUUCCUCCCCCUGCAACUGCCUGUGCUGUAAUCACUAAAUGUCAGCAAUAGAGGCUUUGCCUCCAGUAGGUGACAUUUGAUUCAGUAUCUCUGUGGGGAUGGAUACUGUCAGUCUGUAGAGUCCUGGUAGAACUUUGUUGGCAGGAAACUGGUAAGAGAGUUAAGAUUGUGUUGGAGGGUAGGAAGGCUGAUCACCAGCUGCUCUGCCUUCCACCCCAGCCUCCAGCCAGCCCCCCUGCCAAGUGUCCAUGACUGCCACCCCCAACUCCCCAUCCCAGGUGCUUUUAGCUCCACCUGGAUAUAAGGUGAAGCAAGUCACACUGCAGCCCUUCCCCUCAUUUUCUCCUCCAGACAGCAGGAGGUGCCACAUGCCCUGUUGUAGAUCUUGUGCCAGGAGAUCUUUCUCCAGGACCACCGGGUGGGGACAGUAGUAGAUGAAAACCAGACCUUGCCCUUGACUUGGCCACCCUGUGUUCUCACGAUCUUGGGGAUGGUCUUUUUUCUUGGUGUCUCCCCAUCCCACUUCGCCCUUUUUGAUUUCUGGAGUGCCUAAAGCUCAUGAGCAGCAUUACAAGUGGGAGGGAGGUGAAGCAGAGCUUUGGACCAGACUGAGCCAGAGGGAACACUCCUGUCUAGGAUGUGAUGAUGAGUCUGAAUCCUCAGCAUCCCUGUGGGACCACAGUCCAGGAACAGCUAUCUGCUCUGGGGAAAGGAAGGCCAAGAGGUGCCCAAAUCUCACUUCAGUAUAUUCUAUUAGGCAGAAGUGAAAAUCUAUUUUACUCCCAACUGCAGAAUCUUGGGUGUCCCAAGACAUCUCAGAACUCUCAGGCCAGAGCUCUCAAAUCUUCAUCUCUGUGUCUUUAGCAGCCAUGUAUGUCUACUCAUCCUUAAAGCUUCCUUUUGUUGCCAAUGUUCUGAUGUGGUCUUUUGGAGCACUAUGAAUAAGGCCCCAUGGAAACAGAGAGCCUUGGGGAAAGGACCAGAGUCCAGAAAUAGUGAAACACUCCCAGGUUUCCUGGCUUAAGAGCAAUUAAGUUUUCACACUUGUUUGGGUGGCGUGGGCAGGAGAGUUGCCAGGGAAAGCGCAGUAAGGAUGGUGAUUCACAGUUCACUCCUUGCUCUGAAUCAGGCAGUUCCCCGGACUCAGACCCCAUCCAGCCUUGCCUGCAUCUGCUUCAUCACUCAUCUGUUAUAUGAUGCUGAGCAAGUCACUUAUUUCUUUGUACCUUUGUACCUCAGUUUUCUCACCUACAAAAUGGGCAUUGUAACAUUAAUAAUUCAGAGCACUAUAUAAAGAUAAAUAACACGUGUCAAAUGUUUUAACCUUUCAAAAGCAGUUGUACUUAGAUAUUAUCCAUUAUUAUUAUUUCAUAAGCAGCAGUGGUCCAACAAGGCAGCCCCAAUGUGCAGUCUCAUAUUUGAUUCAUGUUUGCUGAUGAGCUGUUAGCCAAAGCAAGUGACGUGGCCAAGCCUAGAGUCAGUGUGGGAGGGCCUGGAACUGGGAGGUCUGACUCAUCGGGGCCACUAAUGGAAUCAUUUACCACAAAUGUCUUUAUUAUUCUAGUCUUAAUUUUGAUGGUGAUUAUUGGCUUAGUGGAGAAAUUCCUUAUCAUGGUUAAGUGAGCAUGUUCUUGUUUCACUUAGGAAUGGAAAUAUGUUCCCAGGUUACCAUUUUGCCCAUAAUUCAAUUAAAACACUU
rnacentral:lncRNA from 1 species